rnacentral:rRNA from 1 species
GAUGAACGCUGGCGGCGUGCCUAAUACAUGCAAGUCGAACGCUGAAGGAGGAGCUUGCUCUUCUGGAUUAGUUGCGAACGGGUGAGUAACGCGUAGGUAACCUGCCUGGUAGCGGGGGAUAACUCUUGGAAACGAUAGCUAAUACCGCAUGCCAACAGUUAUUGCAUGAUAUCUGUGUGAAAGGGGCAACUGCUCCACUACCAGAUGGCCCUGCGUUGUAUUAGCUAGUUGGUGAGGUAACGGCUCACCAAGGCGCCGAUAGAUGGCCGACCUGAGAGGUGGAUCGGCCACCCUGGGACCUAGACACGGCCCAGACUCCAGCGGGAGGCAGCAGGAGGGAAUCGUCGGCAAUGGACGGAAGUCGGACCGAGCAACGACGCGUGAGGGAAGAAGGAUGUCGGAUCGCAAAUCUCAGUUGUAAGAGAAGAACGAGUGUGAGAGUGGAAUGUUCACACUGUGACGGUAUCUGACCAGAAAGGGACGGCUAACUACGUG